rnacentral:rRNA from 1 species
CCUACGGGAGGCUGCAGUGAGGAAUAUUGGUCAAUGGGCGAGAGCCUGAACCAGCCAAGUCGCGUGAGGGAGUACUGCCCUAUGGGUUGUAAACCUCUUUUGUCGGGGAGCAAAAGCCGGACCUGUCCGGCUGUGAGAGUACCCGCAGAAAAAGCAUCGGCUAACACCGCGCCACCAGCCGCGGUAAUACGGAGGAUGCGCGCGCUAUCCGGAUUUAUUGGGUUUAAAGGGGGUGCAGGCGGGUUUUGAAGUCAGCGGUCAAAUGGUGGGGCUCAACCCCCGCCAGCCGUUGAAACUGGGGGUCUAGAGUGGGCGAGAAGUAUGCGGAAUGCGUGGUGUAGCGGUGAAAUGCAUAGAUAUCACGCAGAACCCCGAUUGCGAAGGCAGCAUACCGGUGCACGACUGACGCUGAGGCACGAAAGCGUGGGUAUCGAACAGGAUUAGAUACCCGUGUAGUC